CUUGUGGCCAUAUCACAUUGAAACACCAGUUCUCACACAAUCACCAAAGUUAAGCAAUGUUGAGUCUGGUCAGUACCUGGAUAGUUAACCACUUAGAAAUACCAGGUGCUGUAAG